rnacentral:rRNA from 1 species
GACGAACGCUGGCGGCGUGCCUAAUACAUGCAAGUAGGACGCAGUUGCGAACGGGUGAGUAACGCGUCGGUAACUACCUAUUAGAGGGGGAUAACUAUUGGAAACGAUAGCUAAUACCGCAUACUAGUAGAUGGACCUGCGUUGUAUUAGCUAGUCGGUAGGGUAAAGGCCUACCUAGGCAACGAUACAUAGCCGAGCUUGGAAGGGGAACGGCCAAACUGGGAAUGGGACAACGCCCAAACUUCUUCGGGAGGGAGCAGGAGGGAAAUAUCGGAAAAGGGGGGAACGCUGGACGAGGACAGGCGGGGGAGUGAAGAAGGUUUUCGGGUCGUAAAGCUCCGUUGUUAAGGGAGCGGUACUUAACGAGAAAGGGACGGCUAACUACGUGCCAGCAGCCGCGGUAAUAC